UACAGAGGGGGCAAGCGUUGUUCGGAAUUACUGGGCGUAAAGGGCGCGUAGGCGGCCUUCUAAGUCGAACGUGAAAUCCCCGGGCUCAACCCGGGAACUGCGUCCGAUACUGGAAGGCUUGAAUCCGGGAGAGGGAUGCGGAAUUCCAGGUGUAGCGGUGAAAUGCGUAGAUAUCUGGAGGAACACCGGUGGCGAAGGCGGGUCUCUGGGACGAUACUGACGCUGAGGAGCGAAAGCGUGGGGAGCGAACAGG
rnacentral:rRNA from 1 species